CACGUAGUUAGCCGGUGCUUCUUAUCAAGGUACCGUCAUCCCCACCCGGUAUUAGCGGAUAGGAUUUCUUUCCUUGCGAAAGAGCUUUACAACCCGAAGGCCUUCUUCACUCACGCGGCAUGGCUGGAUCAGGGUUCCCCCCAUUGUCCAAAAUUACCCCACCUGCUGCCUCCCGUACGGAGUCUGGGCCGUGUCUCAGUCCCACGUGUGGCUGGUCGUCCUCUCAGACCAGCUACGGAUCGUCGCCUUGGUGGGCCUUUACCCCACCAACUAGCUAAUCCGGCAUCGGCCGCUCCAAUAACGCGAGGUCUUACGACUCCCCCGCCUUUCCCCUCAGGGCGUAUGCGGUAUUAGCACAUCUUUCGAUGUGUUACUCCCCCAUUACUGGGUACGUUCCGGUGCAUUACUCACCCGUUCGCCACUCGCCACCAGGUGCAAGCACCCGUGCUGCCGUUCGACUUGCAUGUGUAAAGCAUGCCGCCAGCGUUCAAUCUGAGCCGGAUCAAACUCU
rnacentral:rRNA from 1 species